GAAGGGGGCUAGCGCUGUUCGGAAUUACUGGGCGUAAAGCGCGUGUAGGCGGGUCGUUAAGUCGGGGGUGAAAGCCCAGAGCUCAACUCUGGAACUGCCUUCGAUACUGGCGACCUGGACCCAAGUAGAGGCGGGUGGAAUUGCGAGUGUAGAGGUGAAAUUCGUAGAUAUUCGCAGGAACACCAGUGGCGAAGGCGACUCGCUGGACUUGUGGUGACGCUGAGACGCGAAAGCGUGGGUAGCAAACAGG
rnacentral:rRNA from 1 species